AGAGUUUGAUCCUGGCUCAGGAUGAACGCUGGCGGCGUGCCUAACACAUGCAAGUCGAACGAAGCUUGACGGAUGAUUUCUUCGGAAUGAAACCAGAUAUGACUUAGUGGCGGACGGGUGAGUAACACGUGAGCAACCUGCCUUUCAGAGGGGGAUAACGGCUGGAAACGGUCGCUAAUACCGCAUGAUGUGUUCGGAUGGCAUCAUCUGAACAUCAAAGAUUUAUCGCUGAAAGAUGGGCUCGCGUCUGAUUAGAUAGUUGGUGGGGUAACGGCCUACCAAGUCUACGAUCAGUAGCCGGACUGAGAGGUUGAACGGCCACAUUGGGACUGAGAUACGGCCCAGACUCCUACGGGAGGCAGCAGUGGGGAAUAUUGCACAAUGGGGGAAACCCUGAUGCAGCAACGCCGCGUGAAGGAUGACGGUUUUCGGAUUGUAAACUUCUUUUCUUAGUGACGAAGACAGUGACGGUAGCUAAGGAAUAAGCAUCGGCUAACUACGUGCCAGCAGCCGCGGUAAUACGUAGGAUGCAAGCGUUAUCCGGAUUUACUGGGUGUAAAGGGAGCGCAGGCGGGACUGCAAGUUGGAUGUGAAAUACCGUGGCUUAACCACGGAACUGCAUCCAAAACUGUAGUUCUUGAGUGAAGUAGAGGCAAGCGGAAUUCCGAGUGUAGCGGUGAAAUGCGUAGAUAUUCGGAGGAACACCAGUGGCGAAGGCGGCUUGCUGGGCUUUAACUGACGCUGAGGCUCGAAAGUGUGGGGAGCAAACAGGAUUAGAUACCCUGGUAGUCCACACUGUAAACG
rnacentral:rRNA from 1 species